rnacentral:rRNA from 1 species
GAUGAACGCUAGCGGCAGGCUUAAUACAUGCAAGUUGAGGGGCAGCAUGAUAUACGCGAGUAUAUUGAUGGCGACCGGCGGACGGGUGAGUAAUAGGUAGGAGACCUACCUCAUACAGGGGGAUAGCAUAGAGAAAUCUGUGGUAAUACCCCAUGAGGUUAUAUGAAUAGAGGCAUAUAAUCAAAGCAUAAGCGAUUAUGCGGUAUGAGAGGGGCCUACUGACCAUUAGCUAGUUGGUGAGGUAAGGGCUCACCAAGGCGAAGAUGGUUAGGGGUUUUGAGAGAGAGACCCCCCCACAUUGGAACUGAGAGACGGUCCAGACUCCUACGGGAGGCAGCAGUAGGGAAUAUUGGGCAAUGGGCGAAAGCCUGACCCAGCCAUGCCGCGUGAAGGAAGACGGCCUUAUGGGUUGUAAACUUCUUUACUACGCGAAUAGAGGUUAGUACGAGAUACUAAUAGGAAGUGUAGUAGUAAAAGCACCGGCUAACUCCGUG